rnacentral:rRNA from 1 species
UUCGGGAUGCCGGCGAGUGGCGAACGGGUGAGUAAUACGUGGAAACCUAUCCCGAGGUGGGGGAUAACAGCUGGAAACGGCUGCUAAUACCGCAUAAGCCCUAAGGGGGAAAGAUUUAUCGCCUUGGGAGGGGUCCACGUCGGAUUAGCUAGUUGGUGGGGUAAAGGCCUACCAAGGCGACGAUCCGUAGCUGGUCUGAGAGGAUGGACAGCCACACUGGGACUGAGACACGGCCCAGACUCCUACGGGAGGCAGCAGUGGGGAAUAUUGCGCAAUGGGGGAAACCCUGACGCAGCGAUGCCGCGUGGGUGAAGAAGGCCUUCGGGUUGUAAAGCCCUUUCAGUGGGGAAGAUAGUGACGGUACCCACAGAAGAAGCUCCGGCUAACUCCGUGCCAGCAGCCGCGGUAAUACGGAGGGGGCGAGCGUUGUUCGGAAUUACUGGGCGUAAAGGGCGCGUAGGCGGUGCAGCAAG